rnacentral:rRNA from 1 species
UCGGGAAUUUUGGGCAAUGGGCGAAAGCCUGACCCAGCAACGCCGCGUGAAGGAUGAAGUAUUUCGGUAUGUAAACUUCGAAAGAAUAGGAAGAAUAAAUGACGGUACUAUUUGUAAGGUCCGGCUAACUACGUGCCAGCAGCCGCGGUAAUACGUAGGGACCAAGCGUUGUUCGGAUUUACUGGGCGUAAAGGGCGCGUAGGCGGUUUGUCAAGUCAGUUGUGAAAUCUCCGAGCUUAACUCGGAACGGUCAACUGAUACUGUCAAACUAGAGUACAGAAGGGGCAAUCGGAAUUCUUGGUGUAGCGGUGAAAUGCGUAGAUAUCAAGAGGAACACCUGAGGCGAAGGCGGGUUGCUGGGCUGAUACUGACGCUGAAGCGCGAAAGCUAGGGUAGCAAACGGGAUUAGAUACCCUGGUAGUCCCUGAGCGGGCUGGCAAGGCGCAU